GACAACUUUAAAGCUCAUGAUUUAAGCCAUCUAGCCAGGUUUAAGGUCGGAGUUCGACUCUUCUGGUAAAAUUACUCCCUCUCGGUUGUUCCUUAAUUUUCAUUAAAAAUAAAAUGUAGUUUGACCCUCAACUUUUGAAUAUAGUGACAAUGUACCAUUUGACCUUUAAAAAAUUACACUAUACCACACCACCUAUCAAAAACAAAACAAAGUGCCACCUCCGGUACUUUUCUGGGCAAAAUAUAAUUUAAUGAUUUCAGAUUUUGCAGAAAUUAAUUCCAAAAAUCGAAAAAUUAUGGGGGAAAAAAAAAGAAAAGAAAAGAAAAGAAAACCCAGAGCACGUGAGAGAGAGAAAGAGGGGAGGGAGAGAAGGGGGGGCGGUGGUUGGGCCCGUCCCUGAAUCACCUUCAUCUGAAACAAUUGAAGGAUCCCUUCGAGGCGGCGUUUGAGGAGCAGGAGUCGUCGCCGCCUGAAUCCCCUUCCCCUUCCCCUGCCAAGAUGCAAUAGUAACUAGAGAUGUGAACCAGUUCUUCUCGUUCGUCGUUUCUCGUGUCCGGGCGGCCAACCAUCGCCCCCUCUCUCUCUGACAUGCUCUGGGAAAAUGGCCAGAAAAGUACCCGAGGUGGUACUUUGCUUCGCUUUUACUAGGUCAGUGAUAUAAUGUAACUUUUUAAAGGUUAAGGGGCACAUUGUCACUAAACCUGGCAAAUCGCGUUAGGUUAAGGGGUACAUUGUCACUACACCUGGCAAAUUGCGUUUUAAUCUUUCGUUGAUGAA